AGAGCAGUAAUGAUGAAGAAAUUUUUUGCUAUGGAAGUUAGGUUGUAAUAGCUUAAAACUAAGCCAGAUCCAGUUCAAUCUGAUAAAUUAUGGUCCUCCGGGCCCUGGGGACAUCUGGAUUUUUGGGGGAAAAUCUGAUUUGUAUUUAUUGAUUAAUGUCAGCAGUCAGCAGAUAUUAUUUUAUGCAUGAAAUUACUAAGAUGGAAAUCAUAGUACUGAUAAUCUGAUAGCU
rnacentral:misc_RNA from 1 species